rnacentral:rRNA from 1 species
AUUGAACGCUGGCGGCAGGCUUAACACAUGCAAGUCGAGCGGGGGGAGGUAGCUUGCUACCGGACCUAGCGGCGGACGGGUGAGUAAUGCUUAGGAAUCUGCCUAUUAGUGGGGGACAACAUCUCGAAAGGGAUGCUAAUACCGCAUACGUCCUACGGGAGAAAGCAGGGGAUCUUCGGACCUUGCGCUAAUAGCUGAGCCUAAGUCGGAUGAGCUAGUUGGUGGGGUAAAGGCCUACCAAGGCGACGAUCUGUAGCGGGUCUGAGAGGAUGAUCCGCCACACUGGGACUGAGACACGGCCCAGACUCCUACGGGAGGCAGCAGUGGGGAAUAUUGGACAAUGGGGGGAACCCUGAUCCAGCCAUGCCGCGUGUGUGAAGAAGGCCUUAUGGUUGUAAAGCACUUUAAGCGAGGAGGAGGCUACUUUAGUUAAUACCUAGAGAUAGUGGACGUUACUCGCAGAAUAAGCACCGGCUAACUCUGUGCCAGCCGCCGCAGUAA